rnacentral:lncRNA from 1 species
UAUUUUGAAAUUGAAUUAUUUUAGCAAAAUAAAUUUAUAAUUUUGAUAAAUGUAUGAAUGAUUAUAUUAAAAUAUAAUAAUUUUAAUUACUUUUUUAGAAAAUUAAGCGAGAAUAAUUAAUUUUAAUAACUAAUUGAUCUAAUAAAAAGUUUAACUAUACUAGAUAUAAAAUCUCAAAGGAAAAAAAAAAGUCAGAAGUUGAACGGGGUAUUUUGGAAUAAACUAUAUAUUGUUGAAGGGAUUCCAUAAAUUUUUACAAAAUAAUUAUUAUUUGAAAAGUAGGUUUUGUUUUUGUUUUUGUUUUUCUUUUUCUUUGGCUACAAUACAUUUAAAAAUUGGUACGGGUCAAAAAUAUUGCGACACUUUUUUUUCCCUCUGUAUAGCGACACUUUUAAAUAUCGGUAUAAGUCAAAAAUAGUGCUAUUGGCUAAAUUACCGACACUUCACUAUAGCAAAUUCAUGAUUUAGCGGCAUUUACUCCGCAGCAUUUAUUGAAAUAACGUUAAUUAAUAUAUUUAACAGCAUUACUUGAUAAGUGUCGCUAGAUUUAAUAAUUUAGCAGCAAGUUACUAUUAAUUUUGCAAAAUACGAUAAAUUAGCAGCAAAAACUAGUAAAUGCCACUGAAGUUUUCAACAUUUUAUAAAAAUAACACUAAAUGUAAUAAAGUAGUAGCACUUAUUGCUAAAUGCAGCGAUAUUUGCUAGCAACAUUUAUUUAAAUUAUGCUAAUAAUAUAUUUAACAGCAUUACUUGAUAAUUGCCGCUAGAUUUAAUUAUUUAGCAGUAAUUUAUUAUUAAUAUUACAAAAUAUGAUAAAUUAGCAACGUAAAUUAGUGAAUGCCACUAAAUGUAAUAAACUAGCAGCAUUUGUUGCUAAAUAUCGUUACUAAUCAAAUAUAAUUAUUAAUAUAUUCCUUUUUACUUAAAGUUAAAAAUUUUAAAAUUAAAGUUUAAAGUUCGAAACUUAUAAUUUUAAAAAUUAAACUUAUAAUUUAAAAUUUAAAAUUUUAAAAUUUUAAAAUUUAUAUAUUAAAUUCUAAACUCUAAAAUUUUUAAUUUUUAAAUUUUUAAAUCUAUUUUAAAUUUCAAAUUUC